CAGCUGCGGGGGAGGGAGACCGACUGUUUCUGCUCCCAAUACAGAGUCCUGCUGCUGGGGAAAGGAGACUGGGCUCUCUAUUCCCGGUAGGACACUCUGCCGCUGGGGAAUGGAGACGGGGCUCCCAAUUCCCAAUAAUCUGUGCUGCUGCUGGGGAAUGGAGACUGGGCUCCCAAUUCCCAAAGCAUCAUACUGCCGCUGGGGAAUGGAGACUGGGCUCCCAAUUCCCAAAAAAAUCACGCUGCCGCUGGGGAGGGAGGACACUGCUCUCCUCUCCCUGGACUUCACACUGCCUUCCCGGCAUAUCACUUGGCUGCUGGGGGGCAGGAACAACUAC